UACGAAGGGGGCUAGCGUUGUUCGGAUUAACUGGGCGUAAAGGGCGCGUAGGCGGUUUGGCAAGUCUAUGGUGAAAGCUCGUCGCUCAACGACGAGUCGGCCACGGAUACUGCUGAACUGGAGCACUGUAGAGGCAGGUGGAAUUCCGGGUGUAGCGGUGGAAUGCGUAGAUAUCGAGAGGAACACCAGUGGCGAAGGCGAGUCCCUGGACAACUUCUGACACUGAGGCACGAAAGCUAGGGGAGCAAACAGG
rnacentral:rRNA from 1 species